rnacentral:rRNA from 1 species
GACGAACGCUGGCGGCGUGCUUAACACAUGCAAGUCGAACGGAAAGGCCCUGCUUUUGUGGGGUGCUCGAGUGGCGAACGGGUGAGUAACACGUGAGUAACCUGCCCUUGACUUUGGGAUAACUUCAGGAAACUGGGGCUAAUACCGGAUAGGAGCUCCUGCUGCAUGGUGGGGGUUGGAAAGUUUCGGCGGUUGGGGAUGGACUCGCGGCUUAUCAGCUUGUUGGUGGGGUAGUGGCUUACCAAGGCUUUGCCGGGUAGCCUGCCUGAGAGGGUGACCGGCCACAUUGGGACUGAGAUACGGCCCAGACUCCUACGGGAGGCAGCAGUGGGGAAUAUUGCACAAUGGGCGGAAGCCUGAUACAGCAACGCCGCGUGCGGGAUGACGGCCUUCGGGUUGUAAACCGCUUUCGCCUGUGACGAAGCGUGAGUGACGGUAAUGGGUAAAGAAGCACCGGCUAACUACGUG